GACGAACGCUGGCGGCGUGCUUAACACAUGCAAGUCGAACGGUGAAGCCUUCGGGUGGAUCAGUGGCGAACGGGUGAGUAACACGUGAGCAAUCUACCCUUGACUCUGGGAUAACUUCGGGAAACCGGAGCUAAUACCGGAUAUGACAUCUGGCCGCAUGGUCUGGGGUGUGGAAAGAUUUAUCGGUCAAGGAUGAGCUCGCGGCCUAUCAGCUUGUUGGUGGGGUAAGGCCCACCAAGGCGACGACGGGUAGCCGGCCUGAGAGGGCGACCGGCCACACUGGGACUGAGACACGGCCCAGACUCCUACGGGAGGCAGCAGGUGGGGAAUAUUGCGCAAAGUGGGCGGAAGCCUGACGCAGCGACGCCGCGUGAGGGAU
rnacentral:rRNA from 1 species